rnacentral:rRNA from 1 species
GAUGAACGCUAGCUACAGGCUUAACACAUGCAAGUCGAGGGGCAGCACAGUGUAGCAAUACACGGGUGGCGACCGGCGCACGGGUGCGUAACGCGUAUCCAACCUUCCCGUUACUCAGGGAUAGCCUUCCGAAAGGGAGAUUAAUACCUGAUGGUGUUGAAAUUCCGCAUGUUAUUUCAACUAAAGAUUUAUCGGUAACGGAUGGGGAUGCGUGACAUUAGAUAGUAGGCGGGGUAACGGCCCACCUAGUCUACGAUGUCUAGGGGUUCUGAGAGGAAGGUCCCCCACACUGGAACUGAGACACGGUCCAGACUCCUACGGGAGGCAGCAGUGAGGAAUAUUGGUCAAUGGUCGGAAGACUGAACCAGCCAAGUAGCGUGAAGGAUGAAGGUUCUAUGGAUUGUAAACUUCUUUUAGCAGGGACGAAGAAAUGACGGUACCUGCAGAAAAAGCAACGGCUAACUACGUGCCAGCAGCCGCGGU